UUUCCGUAGGUGAACCUGCGGAAGGAUCAUUAUUGAAUAAACUUGAUGGGUUGUCGCUGGCUCCUAGGAGCAUGUGCACACCUGUCAUCUUUAUCCCGCAUCCACCUGUGCACCUUUUGUAGACUCUGGAGCUGAUGAGCGUGAAAAUGUCGAGGAAAACCUAUUAUAUUCAUUGGUCCCUCGGAAAUAGGCCUGCCACUAUGGCUGGCCUUGAUGCUCGCGCAAGUCUUCUCUGAGCCUAUGUCUUUUCAUAUGCAACAUAGGAACGUCUUAGAAUGUAUUCACUAGGCCUCGGUGCCUAUAGAACAAACAAUACAACUUUCAGCAACGGAUCUCUUGGCUCUC
rnacentral:misc_RNA from 1 species